UACGAAGGGGGCUAGCGUUGUCCGGAAUUAUUGGGCGUAAAGAGCUCGUAGGCGGUUUGUCGCGUCUGCUGUGAAAGCCCGGGGCUCAACCCCGGGUCUGCAGUGGGUACGGGCAGACUAGAGUGCAGUAGGGGAGACUGGAAUUCCUGGUGUAGCGGUGAAAUGCGCAGAUAUCAGGAGGAACACCGAUGGCGAAGGCAGGUCUCUGGGCUGUAACUGACGCUGAGGAGCGAAAGCAUGGGGAGCGAACAGGAUUAGAAACCCCCGUAGUCC
rnacentral:rRNA from 1 species